ACGUUCAACUUAUCGUCAAUGUUGCUCUUGCAGGUUGUAUGGAAAAGCACCACUAAAAUUGGUGCAGCUCUGACCAAAAUAGUUUCAGAUAAUGGGAUGACACACACGUUUGUUGUGGCGCGCUAUUCGCCAGCAGGGAAUGUUCAAGGCCAAUUUGCUGCAAAUGUGAAGCCAAAGUCCUCAUAGAUCUCACUAGUCUGCUUAGAAAUAGAUGGAUCUCAUGGAAGAUGUUAAUGACAAAUAAAUUGUAAUAGUUGCUGACGAAAGGAUAAAUAAAACAUAGUAGCAAGAGGG